rnacentral:lncRNA from 1 species
ACUCCCAAAAAUAAUUUAAAGCCAUGGUUGGACACCUCUAACACACGCUCUGGCUGCCCAACAGCAGAGGAUGGACACCCAAACAAAGCGACCCAAUUUUAUCUGCAAGACAUCUCGAGGACACUGAGAAGCUUCAGACUUCUGACAUGGAGGAAAUCAUAGUGGAGACAGUCCUUGCCCCAUGGGAGAUACUGCUGGUCAUUUUUGCUGCAGUGCUGAUAAUGAGUUUUCUCAUGUUGCUGCCUCCCGCUGCGGUGGUGAUCUGGAAAAUGAAGCACGUUCCGCAGAUCUCGUUGCAUGGCUCGGUGUGAGCCAGCCCUGGUCUGAGCUGUAGCACCACAGGUCCCUUGGACGGAUGGUUCAGAAUGAUAACACCCCUUGGGAUCAUACUUGUUGCCCAGGAUCCAUGCAAAACUGAUACGUUUCCCAGCCUAUUGUAGCUAACUUCCCAUGAAGAGAGAAUAGGGGUAAUUUUGCCUUCAUGUGCUACAGUUCUCAACACUUUGCCUUCCAUUUUUUGGCUAUGUUAUAAUUACUGUUCUUGGCUUAGUUCCUAGACUGACUACUUCUCUUGCAUUAUGAUGAAGACUGAAAGAGAAGCAAGCAUAAUACAGCAUUGUAUUCCCUUACCUAAUAUCAAGGAAACCUGCCUUUCUGUAGUUACACUGUAAAUAUUACCGAAGCCUUUAGCUAAGAUGACUGAGAGUUAUGCAGGUGGACAUGUCAAAAGCAUGCAGUACACUUUGGGGAGGCAGUGGCUUAGUCUGGCUGAACUGUGAAACCUAAACCAAACCAACAGAGAAUGGUGAAAUAAAUAAGCAUCUUAUGUUUCUUUGGUCUGAUCUGAAAACUUACUGGUCUAAUGUGUUUUUUUGUUUCUUUCAUUCUAUAUGCCCUCUCCUUCCUUCACAAAUCCUGAGUGCCAGAACACAAAGCCCUCCCCAUCCCAGGGCUGGAGCAGGAGCAUGAGGGUGGCCUGAUACUCAGACAUGCCCGGCCGGACACCGACUCGAAGUUUAAUGCAAACAUACAGCAACUAUUUGCCUGAAUUACAUUAUGCAAACUUACUCUGGGAAAUAGUGUGAUUAAAAUUAGUUUUUAACUGUGUUGUAAAGGCAUCCUGGUUCAACUUCCCUUUCUCAUAUAUAAAUAAUAACUUUGAUGGUGGCAAUAGAACAAAAUUGCUGCCCUACAAGUUUAUGGGGAAAAAAAAAAAAAGACAAAAACCAAACCAACCAACCAACAAACAAACACACCU